CCUACGGGAGACAGCAGUAAGGGAUAUUGGUCAAUGGGGGAAACCCUGAACCAGCAACGCCGCGUGCGGGAAGACGGUUUUCGGAUUGUAAACCUCUGUCCUCUGUGAAGAUGAUGCCGAUAGCAGAGGCGUUAGCUACGGCUAAUUACGUGCCAGCAGCCGCGGUCAUACGUAGGGAUCAAGCGUUGUCCGGAUUUACGGGGUGUAAAGGGUGCGUAGGCGGGUUGGUAAGUCAGUAGUGAAAUCCAUGGGCUUAACCCCGGAACUGCUAUUGAAACUGUCGAGCUUGAGUGAAGUAGAGGUAGGCGGAAUGCCCGGUGUAGCGGUGAAAUGCGUAGAGAUCGGGAAGAACACCAGUGGCGAAGGCAGCCUACUGGGCUUUAACUGACGCUGAGGCACGAAAGCGUGGGUAGCAAACAGGAUUAGAUACCCGAGUAGUC
rnacentral:rRNA from 1 species